GGCUUGGUGCGCGCCGUCCGCUUCCGUUAGGGAGUGUGUGCGGUUGUGCGCCUGCCAUCUUUUUAGACAUUAUGCUGUGCCCUUCACUGGGUGGCAGGUAGUGGCUGAAUCUUUUACUUUGAAAAAAUUAGAGUGUUCAAAGCAGGCUUGCGCUAUGAAUACAUUAGCAUGGAAUAAUAAUUUAGGACUCCCGUUCUAUUUUGUUGGUUUCUAGGAUGGAAGUA
rnacentral:rRNA from 1 species